GUAAACACAACAACUCCCUCUCUUUUUCUCUCUUUUCUGGCGACACACAAACCAGCGGAGCCGGCCGGUGCACGGCGGAGCCGCGACGGUGCUCCGGUGACCUCUUUUUGGCGUGUGACGGCGCGCGUACCCCCCUAAAAAGCACCUCCCGAGUAUGAAUCCAGCACUAGUUCCUCAAUCGGAGCAGUGGAGGUGAUGGUUCUGGUCACUGGCAGCCGUGGUUCGAGGACUUCGCUCCGGGAUGGUGGCUGUUGGGUGGUCGACGGCGACGGUGGGGGUGACUGACGGCGGCGGCAGUCGCCGGAGCUAUGAAGAGGACGAUGACAAAUUAUGGUGGUUGUUCACAGCUCGGGUUUGGGUAUAGGGCUCCGGAUUCGUGUUCGGAUUCAAGAUUUUUCUAUUGGUUCAGACUUCGACUCUGCUUGGGGUUCAUUUUCAGCCGGUUCGGGUCAGGAAAACAACCGAGACAAACCUCAGUUUCGGUCAACUCACGGUUCGGUUUUGGUCUCGGUUCAGGCUACGAGUUGGGUAUGGUUCAGCAGGUACAGGUUCGGGCUCGGUCAAGACAAGUCAAACUGGUCAAUGGUUCGGUUCGGUCAACAUAAGUCAGCGGCGGUUUGGUUCGUGGUUCGGGUCGACUCGGUCAAACCGAGUUGACUCGGUCAAACCUGGUCAAACUAGUGAGUUGACUCGGUCAACUCAGCUAACUUUUUUCGUUGUUUCGAACACGAAGAUUCGAUAAAGGAUUUAGAAUGAAUAUUAUUUACGUUAAUUAUUCCCUAUGUUUAUUACGUGAUAACGAGCUCGAACCGAUUGAUUAUAGUUUACUUUUGAUAUAUUUAACAAAAUUAUUUAUA